UAACAGGGUCUAGAGAAGAACAUAUAUUCAAAAGGGAAAGGACAACUUCAAAUCCAAAGUGGAAACACUAAACCCUCUAGUUCAUACCAAGGUCCAAGGACGGAAAUAUCUUAGAAGCAAUGGGUCAUGUGCCCCCGUAAAAGUAAAGUGAAGUAAAUCCCUAUCGGGAAUUCACCGAGAAUUCGAAGAAAGGACAAAUAAAACAUAGAAGCUAAUUAUGAAGAAAGAAAGAUCAACUCAGAGAACAUUGAUUUGGUGAUGGAUGA